GAUGAACGCUAGCGGCAGGCCUAAUACAUGCAAGCUGAACGGUAAAUAUUGUAGCAAUACAAUAUGAGAGUAGCGUAUGGGUGCGUAACACGUAUGCAAUCUGCCCUGUACAGGAGGAUAGCUCGGGGAAACCCGGAUUAAUACUCCGUAAUAUUAUUGGGAGGCAUCUCUUGAUAGUUAAAGUCGCAAGACGGUAUGGGAUGAGCAUGCGUCUGAUUAGCUAGUUGGUGGUGUAACGGACCACCAAGGCGAUGAUCAGUAGGGGAACUGAGAGGUUGAUCCCCCACACUGGCACUGAGAUACGGGCCAGGCUCCUACGGGAGGCAGCAGUAGGGAAUAUUGGUCAAUGGAUGCAAGUCUGAACCAGCCAUGCCGCGUGCAGGAAGAAGGCCUUCUGGGUUGUAAACUGCUUUUGCCGGGGGAUAAAAAGUCCAUGCGUGGACAAUUGAAGGUACCCGGUGAAUAAGCCACGGCUAACU
rnacentral:rRNA from 1 species